GUAUUUUGUCGCGAAUUUCAAGCUCCUGGACUGGAAUGCUCCUGAUGCAGGACGAAUACAAGCUCCAGACUGGAGGGAAAUUCAAGCAAGGCAACUUCCUUGCAACUGCUACCAAGAGCAAAUCCGCAUGUUUCCCUCAAUGAAGGAAAGAUGACGAGCAACAAACCGGUCCACACGAAUGGGUAGGCUUUCAUGCUUGAAAAGGCCUUUUUUUAUGUUUUUGAACUCUGCUUCAACAGCUGCGGAACUUGCAGUGAUGCUGGCGCUUUUGAAGAGAGGGACCAUUAUUGCUGUCCAGAGUGGCAAGUAACUUCCAAGUCUUGUUAUUUGGGGAAUAAUCUCAGGGAGGAAGUGGAUGUUGUCUCUAUCCCCAUCAGCCAUGGCAAGUGACCUGCUCUCCUCACAUAUUUCUGUCACCCACUCUCGGACAUUAGUCUGGAUGUGCUGAUUUAAUGAAUCACCUGGUUCUUGUCCCUCAACUUCCUCAUCUGAAAUGGGGACAAAUUCCUCUGCGAUUUGCGCUCUCAAGUAUUUCUUGCACUUUUCUGAUGGGACAGGGGCUCCAGAAUUGUCAUUACCCUCUGUCUCACUCAGUGCCACAAUGGUGAUAGCACGAAGAAGUUCUUUUGCAUGUUGCAAACAUUGUGACUUAAGAAGCUGUGCUAUUGACCUAACAAAGAAAUCCUUAACACGAGGUCUUUUGUU